rnacentral:rRNA from 1 species
UACGUAGGGGGCUAGCGUUGUCCGGAUUUAUUGGGCGUAAAGAGCGUGUAGGCGGCCAUGUAGGUCCGGUGUGAAAACUCGAGGCUUAACCUCGAGAUGUCAUCGGAAACCAUUUGGCUAGAGUCCGGAAGAGGAGAGUGGAAUUCCUGGUGUAGCGGUGAAAUGCGCAGAUAUCAGGAAGAACACCAAUGGCGAAGGCGGCUCUCUGGGACGGUACUGACGCUGAGACGCGAAAGCGUGGGGAGCGAACAGG